GUUUAUUUGUCAUUGAUGAAUAAGCAAAAAAAGAAGCAUUAUUUCAUGCCUUUCUAAGGUAUCUGGAUGUGGCUUGAAAUGGAUCUCCCCUAUUUAUAUGUAAUUUUAAUUACUCAUAUAAUGAAUCAUGUGGUUAACGAAUAGGGCUCCAGAAGGCAUUAUGUUUGUAUAUAAAGAUCUGACUUUAUAUGAAAGGAAAGAACAUAUCAUUUCUCACAUAAAGCAAAUUUGUUCAUCCUGUUUGUAUAACUGGUACUUAUUUUAACGACUGACAAUGGAUCCAAUAUAUAUUCAAUUCUUUUUUAUGAAGAAUAAUUCUAAUUUGAAGUUUAAAAAAUUUCUUUAUUAUACUAUUAUUCUUUUAUGGUAAAAGAAAGAUACAGUUGCUGUUAUUACUACUACUACUUAAUAGAAAUCACACUUUUUUCCUUUUUUUUUAUCUUAUAAAAUGUUAUUCGUUUUAUACACGUUCCCGAAAAUGAAGAAACUGGUUACAUUAAAGUGAAAUGUUUAAAUGUUCUUUGUUCGAUUUUUGUUUCCAAAUAUAUUAGUUUAUGUUCUGGUACCAGUUCUGUAUCUUCAGUGUCCAUUCUGCAGAUGACAACCCACUAGUAAGGAAAUUCUUGUGAGUCUGUUUUAUGGUUGAUACUGUGCCUAAUGGGUGAUGUGUUCUAAGAAAAAGGUGGACCGUAAUUUGCUUAUUGUUGCCCAACAAUCCAAACAUGAGGCAGUUGUAUAAUAAAUUUAAUAAACCCAAAAUACAAAUUUUCAAA
rnacentral:lncRNA from 1 species